rnacentral:misc_RNA from 1 species
UUCGGGGGGGUUCUCUGGGGGCGUGGGGGGGCUGGUCUUUGGACGGCGCCGCCGGGUCUCUGGAUCGAGCCGAGCACCGCGAACUGCGAUAGUGACUGGGGUGUGUGUGGUGGUAGCACCACGGCCCCGCCAGCAAAACGCUAGCAAAGGACUGACGGCAGCUCGAGGAGCAGCAAAAAA